CCGCUAUCUGCCUUCUGAACCACUACCGGCUCUUCUGCACAUUCUUGUCUUCUCUGUGCUCGCCCUGCGCCUGACAGGCUUUCGGGAGUCUCCACUACAACUUUAGGUUGCCUUUAUCCUAUAAACAGUGUAGAGCUAGCAGAACAACA
rnacentral:lncRNA from 1 species